GCGUUGGUGGUGCAACGGCUAGCAUUCGUUUCCGGAAAGAGUGAGAUCUGGGUUCGAAUCCCUGCUGACGCA